CUGGCCCUGAAUCAAGGCUGGGAAUUUCUUGAUGCUGUUGGUUUCCAGCAGGAGCCUAAAGAGAUGUCUCCUAUGGUCUGUUGGCAAUUUCAGCACUUGGGCAGUGAAAUGGUCAAUUCAUUAGAAAGAAACAGCU
ensembl:snoRNA small nucleolar RNA SNORA2/SNORA34 family